rnacentral:rRNA from 1 species
GAUCAUGGCUCAGGAUGAGCGCUAGCUACAGGCUUAACACAUGCAAGUCGAGGGGCAGCAUGGUCUUAGCUUGCUAAGGCCGAUGGCGACCGGCGCACGGGUGAGUAACGCGUAUCCAACCUGCCUUACACUCUUGGACAGCCUUCUGAAAGGGAGAUUAAUACAAGAUGUUAUCAUGAGUAAGCAUUUUCGCAUGAUUAAAGGUUUACCGGUGUAAGAUGGGAGA